rnacentral:lncRNA from 1 species
GAGCACUUCCUCCUUUCCACAGGACUAGAGUUUGGUUCCUAGCAGUCAGUUAGGAUGGCUCACAACCACCUGUAACUCCAGCUCCAGAGGAUCUUGUGCCCUCUUCUGGCCUUCAUGGAUACCCACACACACAUGGCACAUACAUACUUCUGGGUCUUCGCAGGGUCUAAUCUGUUGCUAGGAAGAGGACAACUUGGACACCCCUGUAUGUGCUUCUAGAAGUCAAGGACAUUCAGGCAG